ACAAAAACUCAACCUCACACCAUUUCAUCAUGUGAUAUCCUUCUGUCCUCUCAAAUGCCUCGCUGGAAAACUCAAUAGCUCUGCCAAGUCGGAGCUCAUCGCCGGCGGCGGCGGAGCUCGCCAUACCACCACCUUUACAUUCUUUUAACCAUCGCAACGCCCUUGUUUCAAAUCCAACAACAAUAUCUUCAAAUAUUCACUCUACAGAAAAAUCGAAGCUAAGUAAGUCGAGCCAAGAGAGGUGAUAUUAUCGCGGUGACGGAAGAAAACUCAGGCAAUGCUACAUAUGGUACGCACAUGAUGGCCACUUCUUUGAAAGAUGAUUGAUGAAUACAAUGAUGCAACCCUUUAAAGAUGAUGAAGUCCUUUGAAGAAGCUCACUUUUUAAUAGGAUCCCAUUCUUGUAGUGAGUCUUUAUUGUAAUGGAUAGUGUUUUGAUUACAAGAUUUUACCAGCUUUUUUAACAAUUCUAAUCAAUGUGUCAAACCUUUUUAUUUGUCUUGUAACUUUGACUUCAUGUAAUAAUGAACAUUCUUGACCUUUUGGAGGAACA